AAUACAAAGUGAUUACAAAUGGUUUGGAACUCCGGUAUGUAGGUAUCAUUGUCGGUGAUUUCCUUUUUAUGUCUUACCAGAUCUUUCCUUAAUCUAAUGACAGGCAUCAUCCAUGGUUCAAAAUCUAACAUAUUUGCUUGUAACAUUACGGGUAGAGCUAUAUUCUGCCGUUCAAAAUGUUCCCAAAAUCUCACAUAAGAAGGUCGCGUGAUGGUUGGACGUGCUCGAUAUAAGACCAGGUCAGCGUUAAACCGCACAUUAUUUGGAUGAAACGGAGCGGAACUACCGAUGCCCAAUUUAGACUAUCCGCAGGACUUGUAGGAAACGCCCCAAUGCAAUACCUUAUAACAGCGUUGUACUCUGUUCUGUUCCCCUGUACUUUGAGCUCGAAAAGCAAAUCUCCUGCCCUAACACGAAACCGUCUAUUCAACAGGAAAGACUUAAUUAUGAGCGGUACCGUGACCCCUGGUGUGAAUAUUGGGAUCCGUUACAUAACAGUAGUAAUAAAUACGUUAAUUUUCGUGGAAGACGGUGGCAAUGGUGGCACAAUAUUUUAAGUAUCGGUGUAAAAUUAUAAUUACGAUGGAAAUGAAUUCCCGAGGGAGAUAGAAUUCUCCGAUGUUGUCGUGCAGGUGGGAAGCCGAGUUGAAAUACUAUGUAUUACAAUGUAAAGUUGUUAAAUGCAAAUUGGAAAAGAGAUGAAAAAGUAAGCAAGUAUAUAUCCUGGAAGGUUUUCAAUAGCUCUUUUCCCUUCCUUGUAAUCAAUAAAGAGCCUAAGGCUAUCUCGUGUGAUUAAGAGAGGGCA